ensembl:lncRNA
CCUCUUCACAUAAGAUUCAUACAAUGAAAACUUGAACAUCUAAUAAUAUAUAUUAUAUCUGAUAGCUAGCCAUGAGUAACAUUUCUAGACAUGUUAUGUUGUUAACAUGUUUAAUGAUGUUGGAAAGAAGACAGGUAUUGUACGCAUCAUUUAUUUUUGAUUAAAUAGAAGUUAAUACAUUUUUAAUGGUUAAUAGAAUCCAAGAAAAAAACAAAUGAAAAAAUCGGAAACCAUUUUAAAUAAUUAAUAAAUAUUGGCUUGGUUAAACUCUAACCUUCCACUAGGGGGCAUAGUUAUACUGUAGCCGGACACUAGGGGCCGCAGUUGGGUCGUGGUUACGUUCUAACGUGAAACUUGGGGCGUGGUUACAAUUUAACGUGGCACUGGGGGCGUGGUUACAUGCUAACGUGAGGGGGCGGAGUUAAACUGUAUAAUGAGUUAGGUGUGUGGUUAAACUGUAUCCUGCCAAUAGGGGGCUUGGUUCAACGUUAGCCUGGCCAUAGGGGGCGUGACCAAACCGUAAUCGGACACUAGUUGGCGUGGUUAAAUCAAACCUGACAUUAGGAGUUUGGGGAAGCAGUAACCAGUCACUGGGGGCAUGGUUAAAUUGUCACAUGACAAAAGGGGCGUGGUUCAACUUUAAGCCGAUCCUUACAGUAAAGGGGGGUUUAACUGUAACCUGACACUAGGGGGCAGUGUUCAACUGGGGAUUAGAGGGGGCAGAACCUGGGUAACGACAACUACUUAUACAAAGGUCCAACAGAAGAUUACAUUCUUUUUUAAAUGUGUACAUUUAAGGAUCCACCCUGUAUUAUGUAAGAAGGGAAACUAAAACAAACUGAGGAUAACUACCAUCACCACUCUAUAACUUCACCCCUCUAUAACCUCACCCAUCACCCUGUUUAACUUCACCCAUCACCCCUCUAUAGCCUCACCCCUCUAUAACCUCACCCCUCUAUAACCUCACCCGUCUACACCCUCACCCAUCUAUAGCCUCACCCCUCUAUAAGCCCCACUGAGUUGUGCGUGUCGUUGUGCGCUGUGUGCUAGUAUGAAGCAGCGGUUUACACUCUGUAGAUACAUAGAGACAUGGUGCAUAUACAAGUAAGCAUGCGUGUGCUUUCAGUCGUCAAGGGGGAGCAGGAAGUAGUGUAGAAACUGUUUAACUGGUUCCUCGGUCUUCCUCACCCAUGACGUUGCCGUGAGCCUUCAUUCCUGCGAUAGAAAACGAUAAUGUGUUGUAAACUGCAGUUAAGGAAGUAGUAAACAAAAAAUGUAACAUUGCUUCACAAGAGGUAAGAUGCUAUGAACCGAUCACUCUGAAUGAUGACAAGUGCAUUGUAGUUAAACGCUAAUAGCCUGGACUUUUAGAAUAACAUGGACUCUUAGCAUAACAUAGACUCUUAACAUAGGAUGGAUUCUUGAACUAG